UACGAAGGGGGCGAGCGUUGUUCGGAAUUACUGGGCGUAAAGCGUGCGCAGGCGGUUAUGUAAGACAGUUGUGAAAUCCCCGGGCUCAACCUGGGAACUGCAUCUGUGACUGCAUAGCUAGAGUACGGUAGAGGGGGAUGGAAUUCCGCGUGUAGCAGUGAAAUGCGUAGAUAUGCGGAGGAACACCCGUGGCGAAAGCGGCUCUCUGGAACGGUACUGACGCUGAGACGCGAAAGCGUGGGGAGCGAACAGG
rnacentral:rRNA from 1 species